GGUUUAGGAUUUGAUUAGGGUUUGAUUUAGGAUUUAGGAUUUAGUUAGGGUUUGGUUUAGGAUUUAGUUUAGAAUUUAGGAUUUAAUUAGGGUUUGAUUUAAGGUUUAGGAUUUAGUUAGGAUUUGGUUUAGGAUUUAAGAUUUGAUUAGGAUUUGGUUUAGGAUUUCGGAUUUGGUUAGGAUUUGAUUUAGGAUUUAGGAUUUGGUUUAGGAUUUAAGGUUUGAUUUAGGAUUUAGGAUUUUAUUAGGAUUUGUUUAGGAUUUAAGAUUUAAUUAGUUUUGGCUUAAAGUUUGAAUGAAGUCGAAUAGGAUUUUAACUAGAAUUAAAUUAAGAUUGAAUUGAUAUGUAUUUGAAAGAUAUUUGUGAUCAUUCUAAUAUUUCUUUAAGAUUUCUUAUUAUUUCUUUGAAAUUUCUUUGAGAUUUCUUUGAAUUUGAUUAAAGUUUGCUUAUCAUUAUUAUAGUCUAAUUAGAGUUUAUUUAGUAUUCUAGUAUAGUUAAGAUUUUAUUGUUAUAAUUUCCAUUCUACCUUCCACAGCUAAGUGUCCAGAGCAUUCUCAAGCAAGACUUCAUGUAUUACGACACCGUAGGU
rnacentral:lncRNA from 1 species